GAUGAACGCUGACAGAAUGCUUAACACAUGCAAGUCCACUUGAACUUCGGUUUGGGUGGCGGACGGGUGAGUAACGCGUAAAGAACUUGCCUCACAGCUAGGGACAACAUUUGGAAACGAAUGCUAAUACCUGAUAUUAUGAUUAUAUGGCAUCGUAUAAUUAUGAAAGCUAUAUGCGCUGUGAGAGAGCUUUGCGUCCCAUCAGCUAGUUGGAGAGGUAACAGCUCACCAAGGCGAUGAUGGGUAGCCGGCCUGAGAGGGUGAUCGGCCACAAGGGGACUGAGACACGGCCCUUACUCCUACGGGAGGCAGCAGUGGGGAAUAUUGGACAAUGGACCGAGAGUCUGAUCCAGCAAUUCUGUGUGCACGAUGAAGUUUUUCGGAAUGUAAAGUGCUUUCAGUUGGGAAGAAAAAAAUGACGGUACCAACAGAAGAAGUGACGGCUAAAUACGUG
rnacentral:rRNA from 1 species